rnacentral:rRNA from 1 species
GAUGAACGCUGGCGGCGUGCCUAAUACAUGCAAGUCGAGCGAACGGACGAGAAGCUUGCUUUUCUGAUGUUAGCGGCGGACGGGUGAGUAACACGUGGAUAACCUACCUAUAAGACUGGGAUAACUUCGGGAAACCGGAGCUAAUACCGGAUAAUAUUUUGAACCGCAUGGUUCAAAAGUGAAAGACGGUCUUGCUGUCACUUAUAGAUGGAUCCGCGCUGCAUUAUCUAGUUGGUAAGGUAACGGCUUACCAAGGCAACGAUGCAUAGCCGACCUGAGAGGGUGAUCGGCCACACUGGAACUGAGACACGGUCCAGACUCCUACGGGAGGCAGCAGUAGGGAAUCUUCCGCAAUGGGCGAAAGCCUGACGGAGCAACGCCGCGUGAGUGAUGAAGGUCUUCGGAUGGUAAAACUCUGUUAUUAGGGAAGAACAUAUGUGUAAGUAACUGUGCACAUCUUGACGGUACCUAAUCAGAAAGCCACGGCUAACUACGUG